rnacentral:rRNA from 1 species
AGCGAACGCUGGCGGCAGGCCUAACACAUGCAAGUCGAACGGAUCCUUCGGGAUUAGUGGCGGACGGGUGAGUAACACGUGGGAACGUGCCCUUUGGUUCGGAACAACUCAGGGAAACUUGAGCUAAUACCGGAUGUGCCCUUCGGGGGAAAGAUUUAUCGCCAUUGGAGCGGCCCGCGUCUGAUUAGCUAGUUGGUGAGGUAAAGGCUCACCAAGGCGACGAUCAGUAGCUGGUCUGAGAGGAUGAUCAGCCACAUUGGGACUGAGACACGGCCCAAACUCCUACGGGAGGCAGCAGUGGGGAAUCUUGCACAAUGGGCGAAAGCCUGACGCAGCCGUGCCGCGUGAAUGAUGAAGGUCUUAGGAUUGUAAAAUUCUUUCACCGGGGACGAUAAUGACGGCACCCGGAGAAGAAGCCCCGGCUAACUUCGUGCCAGCCGCCGCCGUAA